rnacentral:misc_RNA from 1 species
AUUUUCCCCUUUUGCUCUCUCUAUUUGCUAGUCUCUGCUUACUUUUCUUCUUCCAUUUUCUGCUAAUUUUUACACAGAAAAUUUUCUUUGAAAAGAAAAAGAAAAUGGCAAGUGGGGGUGGGUAUGGUGAUGCAAGUCAGAAAAUAGACUAUGUUUUUAAGGUUGUUUUGAUAGGUGAUUCAGCUGUGGGAAAAUCUCAAAUACUAGCUCGUUUUGCAAGAAAUGAGUUUAGUCUUGAUUCUAAAGCUACAAUUGGUGUUGAAUUCCAGACAAGAACACUUGUUAUUCAGCAUAAGUCUGUUAAAGCUCAGAUCUGG